GGAGGAAAGCAGGGGAUCGCAAGACCUUGCGCUUUUGGAGCGGCCGAUGUCUGAUUAGCUAGUUGGUGAGGUAAAGGCUUACCAAGGCUUCGAUCAGUAGCUGGUCUGAGAGGACGACCAGCCACACUGGGACUGAGACACGGCCCAGACUCCUACGGGAGGCAGCAGUGGGGAAUUUUGGACAAUGGGGGCAACCCUGAUCCAGCCAUGCCGCGUGAGUGAAGAAGGCCUUCGGGUUGUAAAGCUCUUUCAGCCGGAACGAAACGGUUACGGUUAAUACCCGUGACUAAUGACGGUACCGGAAGAAGAAGCACCGGCUAACUACGUGCCAGCAGCCGCGGUAAUACGUAGGGUGCGAGCGUUAAUCGGAAUUACUGGGCGUAAAGCGUGCGCAGGCGGUUUUGUAAGUCAGAUGUGAAAUCCCCGGGCUUAACCUGGGAACUGCGUUUGAAACUACAAGGCUAG
rnacentral:rRNA from 1 species